rnacentral:rRNA from 1 species
ACUCAAAGGAAUAGACGGGGGCCCGCACAAGCGGUGGAGCAUGUGGUUCAAUUCGAUGCAACGCGAAGAACCUUACCCGGGUUUGAACUUUACUUGAAGUGCUCAGAGAUGAGUAUGUCUAGCAAUAGACAAGUAGAGAGGUGCUGCAUGGCUGUCGUCAGCUCGUGUCGUGAGAUGUUGGGUUAAGUCCCGCAACGAGCGCAACCCUUGCUGUUAGUUGCACACUCUUAAAUGGGAAAGCACUCUAACUAGGACUGCCGGUGAUAAACCGGAGGAAGGUGGGGAUGACGUCAAGUCAUCAUGGCCUUUAUGUCCGGGGCUACACACGUGCUACAAUGACCGGUACAAAGGGAAGCCAAGCCGCGAGGUGGAGCCAAUCCCAUAAAACCGGCCUCAGUUCGGAUUGUAGUCUGCAACUCGACUACAUGAAGGUGGAAUCGCUAGUAAUCGCGGAUCAGCAUGCCGCGGUGAAUACGUUUCCGGGCCUUGUACACACCGCCCGU